rnacentral:rRNA from 1 species
GACGAACGCUGGCGGCGUGCCUAGUACAUGCAAGUUGAGCGCUGAAGGUUGGUACUUGUACCGACUGGAUGAGCAGCGAACGGGUGAGUAACGCGUGGGGAAUCUGCCUUUGAGCGGGGGACAACAUUUGGAAACGAAUGCUAAUACCGCAUAAAAACUUUAAACACAAGUUUUAAGUUUGAAAGAUGCAAUUGCAUCACUCAAAGAUGAUCCCGCGUUGUAUUAGCUAGUUGGUGAGGUAAAGGCUCACCAAGGCGAUGAUACAUAGCCGACCUGAGAGGGUGAGCGGCCACAUUGGGACUGAGACACGGCCCAAACUCCUACGGGAGGCAGCAGUAGGGAAUCUUCGGCAAUAGACGAAAGUCUGACCGAGCAACGCCGCGUGAGUGAAGAAGGUUUUCGGAUCGUAAAACUCUGUUGGUAGAGAAGAACGUUGGUGAGAGUGGAAAGCUCAUCAAGUGACGGUAACUACCCAGAAAGGGACGGCUAACUACGUG